CGUAGGUGAACCUGCGGAAGGAUCA
rnacentral:ncRNA from 10 species